CUGACCCAGUCAUUGAAAAAGGCCUGGAUGUUGCACCAGAAGGAUCUGUCUUCAUCCUCUGCAUCGUAGGAGACCAAAAAGCAUGGAAUUGCGCUGACAAUGCCUUUAAGAAUCUUCCUGACAUAGCAAUUCCAGAAAUCCCAAUGUUAAUGAAGCUGUCCACGAGGCAAAAGUUGGACAAUAUUGAGUGCAAGAAUGAAGAACUCGUCAAGAAAUUUAUCAGUGGAUGACACUGGCAUAGAUGAAAACGAUAUAUAUCAGCUGUUUCAGCAGUCAAUAUUCUAGACAAAACAGAAUUUACAUUAUUAGAUGUGCAAUCUUGUAAGGCAUUGUAGCGAAAUUCUCUUUGGUGUUUAGUGUCAUUGUAUAAGUAUGGAUAUGAGAAGGCAGUAUAUGGUUUACAGAUACUAUUCUAUAACAUAUACUGUUUAUAUAUUUGCCAAAAAUGCCUUAAUUAAUCCAGUGAUCUUGUGUAGUUAUUUUACUGGACAAUGGAUGAACACUGAGGGCGCUAGUCAUCGUUCACUGAAUUGGACAACCAUAUAUUUGCAUUAGAUAAAUGCAUCAGUAAAAUUGAAUUAUUACAAACUAAUAACAAAGAGUAUGCUGGACUUCUAUACAAGCAUGUGUAUUAAUUCGAAAUUAUAAAAUACUGCAUAACUUUAAUUUGUAGCUGAUUAUGUUCGCUAUGUCAUUGUGAUCAGUGGUGCUGUGAGGCUAAGUAUUAUUCAUAUCACAAAUUUACUUUAUACUGUUGGUUAAUUUUACUGCCAUUUUAGUCAUAACAUGUAUUGCAGAUGGGAGAUUAAAAUAUACAUAACAUUCAA